ACUCAAAUGAAUAGACGGGGACCCGCACAAGCGGUGGAGCAUGUGGAUUAAUUCGAUACUAACCGAAGAACCUUACCCAGACUUGACAUCGAUCGCAAGAUCCUGAAAGGGAUCCCUCUCCAAAAGAGACGAGAAGACACUUGUUGCAUGGCUGUCGUCAGCUCGUGCCGUGAGGUGUACGGUUAAGUCCGCCAACGAGCGCAACCCACGUCCUGUGUUACCAGCGAGAGAGUCGGGCACUCACAGGAGACCGCCGGUGUAAGCCGGAGGAAGGUGUGGAUGACGUCAAGUCAGCAUGGCAGUUACGUCUGGGGCUUCACACAUGCUACAAUGGGCGCAACAGAGGGCCGCGAUACCGCGAGGUGGAGCCAAUCCCAAAAAUACGCCCCCAGUUCAGAUUGCAGUCUGCAACUCGACUGCAUGAAGGCGGAAUCGCUAGUAAACGCAGGUCAGCUAUACUGCGUUGAAUACGUUCCCGGGUCUUGUACACACCGCCCGU
rnacentral:rRNA from 1 species